rfam:Ovis aries breed Texel chromosome 2, whole genome shotgun sequence.
UCCCUGGUGGCUCAGACGGUAAAGCGUCUGCUCGCAAUGCAGGAGACUCGGGUUCAACCCCUGGGUUGGGAA